GCCUUAUCGGCUACGCCACUGGAAAUUUAAACUGCUGCUGAGGUUUAUCAACAAUUUAAAAGUUUUUAAAGCAGCCACUUAAAUUUCUGUUUGCACAAGUGUCCCAACAAUGAAACUUAAAAUAACAUUCCUUGUGUUUGUUACAAUCUACUGUGUCUACUCUCUAAAGUGUUAUUCUUGUCAAGGUGAAGAUGAAUGUAAAAAUUCUAAACAAGUGACUUGUGGGAUUUUCGAGGAUCUUUGCGCUUCAGUACAAUAUUACGAAGACUCUGAUAAAACUAGGAAAUCUUGUAGUAACCAAGUCAAAUUCGAAGAUCUUCAAGCAUUGCUCGAGGGAAAAGGAGGACAAUAUUCUUACUGCUCGUCAGAUUUAUGUAAUAAUUAAAACAAUAAAGAAGUUUGUUUUAUUUUUA